rnacentral:lncRNA from 1 species
AAAAAGUCAAAAUAUGAUUACAGCAGUCAUCACUGUGUUACAAUCUCAAGACAAACACACAUAUACAAAAACACAAAAAGCAUCUAUCAAAUUAAAAAAACACAUUCCUUGUUUCGCGUGUUGGGCGUCAAAAAAUGCAAACGUCACAAAAAAGAAAUUUUAUCGUUCAAUGUCUAUUCAAAACAAUUAUAAUUUCACAUGGAGAAUGG